UUCCUUAUUGCCUGGAUGUUCCUGCUAAGAGCUCUUUUACCAUGGUGGAAAGAGGCUUAAGCAUGCUACAGAAAUGAACUGAGGCUCCCAGCCCUAACUGAGCACUGGGACAACAGCCACUCCCAAGUUGUCAGACCUUCCCCUGUUCAUACCACAUGGAGCACAAACAAGUUCUUGAUGAACGAAUAAACAAACAGAUCUACAACCAUCAGACAAGGGAGACAAAAGGAGGGAACUAUUGAUAUAUGCAACAAAUUAGAUGCAUCUCAGACAUCAUAUGGAGUGGAAGAAGCCAGCUUCCAAGGCCACAUGCAAACCUGGAAUUCUCAUGAGAAUGAUUUUGGGAUUAGGGUGAAGGAACAGUGCCCCUCAAAUGCUGUACUGGACAAACAUCUCCAUGCCUAUCACCUUUGGAUCUUGGAGUUUCCAUGAAGAAUGCAUGAAGAAGAAUGUUCUCACUUUUUUGUUUGUUUGUUUUGUUUUUGAGAUGAGGUCUUGUUGUGUUGUCCAAGCUGACCUCGUGAUCCUCCUGCUUCAGCCUCUGGACUCCACUGGGAGAGGACUACUAGAAGUUUGCUCUGGCGUCUCCUGAACCCUCGCCUCCUCUUCCUUUGCUAGUUUGAAUCUGUAUCCUUCACUGUAAUAAACCAUGA